UUACUCCAACCGAUUCAGGAUGGCAUCAGCUGGUGGCAGUUGUUCCAAGGCAGGGGAGAUAACCGGACACCGGGCGACAGUGUUUUUCACGCCAACCUGGUGCUUUCUCAAGCCCUUGCUGGCGUCGCUCUGUUCACCUGUUUAAACAAAGUUGUACAAGGCUGCGCGCACAGCAUCAACGUAGUAGGGUGUUUCUAUGAAUGAAUGGACAUGGGAAAGAGCGUUAUGUCAUUUUCAUGCAUAGUAGACAGUUACAAACAGGGAACCAUCCACAGUCUGCGUAAAUGCAUUGGCAAUCAUUUUCUCUGGACAACUUCUGGAGGCUAGUCGCAUCGCGAGUUCAUCUGCUUGUUUAAGGUGGCCUUGCGUUUACUUCGCCCGCUCCUCCUCAUCCUGCUCCUAAAGGGCCUGUACCAGUGUGACUAUUGUGUGAACUAGGGCCGGGACCCUUGUCAGACGUGCCUGUGUCCCAUUCAGUGUUUAUGCCCUAUUUAAACAGGUGAACAAAAUGAUGCCAGCAAGGGAUUGAGAAAGCGCCAGGUUGGUGCAAAACACUGUCGCUCUGGGUCCGGUUAUCUCCCCUGCCUUGGAACAACCGCCACCAGCUGAUGCCAUCCUGAAUCGGUUGGAUUAACCAGGACUUAGUGUACGUCCACCAGGCUGCAGCACGGAAGAGCUGGCGGUGGAUUUUGUUCUGUUUUGCAGAUUCCUUGCGGAAUGUUCAUGGUAUUUGUGCUAAAUUUAUGCAGAAGCAUUUGCGCUCAACACACAGAUUCUAGAUGGACUCUCCACACUGGGUCCCCGGCGUCUCCGCCAAUGAUACCUGUCUGAAACUGCACUCUUUAUCCGACACGUUUGAAAAAGAACAAUAAAGAUAUUGAAGCUGCGAUCCUGUUUUCUACCAGAAUGACACAGCCUGGAGUUGGUGACAGCAAGAAGACACAAUAUAGUGGCUGAAUGACACACCCUGGAGGUGGCGGCUACAUGAGGAGACCAUAUAGUGCCUGAAUGACACAGCGUGGAGGUGGCGGCAGCAUAAGGAAGCCAUAUAGUAGCUGAAUGACCUAUCCUGGAGGUGGCAACAGCCUGACAAGACCAUAGGGCCUCACAAUUGAAAAGAUAUUUUUUAUCAUUUAAAUUGGAGAUUUCAAAUAGAUGAAGCUAAAUUUUUUUAUUUAAUGUACCAGCAGCAUGAGGAGACCACAUGGUGGCACAGUGACACAGCCUGGAGGUGGCAGCAGCAUGGGGAGACCAUAUAGUGGCUGAAUGACACAGCCUGGAGGUGGCGGCAGCAUGCGGAAACCAUAAUCUGGCAGAAUGACACAGCCUGGAGGUGGCGGCAGCAUGAGGAGACCAUAUAAUGGCUGAAUGACACAGCCUGGAGUUGCCGGUGGAAAGAGGUAACCAUGUAGUGGCUGAAUGACACAGCCUGGAGUUGGCAGCAGCAAGAGGGGACCAUACAGUGGCUGAAUGACACAUCCUGGAGGUGGUGGCAGCGAAAGGAGACCAUAUAGUGGAUGAAUGACACAGCCUGGAGGUGGCGGAAGCAUGAGUAGACCAUAUAGUGGCUGAAUGACACAACCUGGAGUUGGCGGCAGCAAGAGGCGACCAUAUAGUGGCUGAAUGACACAGCCUGGAGCUGGCAUCAGUAUGAGGAGAACAUAUGGUGGCAGAAUGAGACAGCCUAGAGCUGGCAUCAGCAUGAGGAGAACAUAUGGCGGCAGAAUGAGACAGCCUGGAGCUGGCAUCAGCAUGAGUAGAACAUAUGGAGGCAGUAUGAGACAG